AGAGUUUGAUCCUGGCUCAGGACGAACGCUGGCGGCGUGCUUAACACAUGCAAGUCGAGCGAUGAAGCUCCUUCGGGAGUGGAUUAGCGGCGGACGGGUGAGUAACACGCGGGUAACCUGCCUCAUAGAGGGGAAUAGCCUUUCGAAAGGAAGAUUAAUACCGCAUAAGAUUGUAGUACCGCAUGGUACAGCAAUUAAAGGAGUAAUCCGCUAUGAGAUGGACCCGCGUCGCAUUAGCUAGUUGGUGAGGUAACGGCUCACCAAGGCGACGAUGCGUAGCCGACCUGAGAGGGUGAUCGGCCACAUUGGGACUGAGACACGGCCCAGACUCCUACGGGAGGCAGCAGUGGGGAAUAUUGCACAAUGGGGGAAACCCUGAUGCAGCAACGCCGCGUGAGUGAUGACGGUCUUCGGAUUGUAAAGCUCUGUCUUUAGAGACGAUAAUGACGGUACCUAAGGAGGAAGCCACGGCUAACUACGUGCCAGCAGCCGCGGUAAUACGUAGGUGGCAAGCGUUGUCCGGAUU
rnacentral:rRNA from 1 species